GUGCUCGCUUGGGCAGCAUAUAUACUAAAAUUAGAAUGAUACAGAGAUUAGCAUGACCCCUGCGCAAGGAUGACACGCAGAUUCGUGAAGCAUUCCUUAUUUUU
rnacentral:snRNA from 1 species